AUUGAACGCUGGCGGCAGGCUUAACACAUGCAAGUCGAGCGAGCGGCGGACGGGUGAGUAAUGUCUGGGAAACUGCCUGAUGGAGGGGGAUAACUACUGGAAACGGUAGCUAAUACCGCAUACUAUCAGAUGUGCCCAGAUGGGAUUAGCUAGUAGGUGGGGUAAUGGCUCACCUAGGCGACGAUCCCUAGCUGGUCUGAGAGGAUGACCGGCCACCCGGGAACGGAGACCCGGCCCAGACUCCUACGGGAGGCAGCAGUGGGGAAUCUUGCACAAUGGGCGCAAGCCUGAUGCAGCAACGCCGCGUGGGUGAAGAAGGCCUUCGGGUUGUAAAGUACGGUUAUUGGGGAGGCGGUACCCAAACAAAAAGCACCGGCUAACUCCGUGCCAGCAGCCGCGGUAAUAC
rnacentral:rRNA from 1 species